GGGCCGGUAGAUCAGGGGAAGGUCGCUUGCUUCGCAAGCAAGAGGGCGCGGGUUCAAAAGCCUAGCAAUGACUGAAAAUCCCGCCCGGUCCA
rnacentral:tRNA from 1 species